rnacentral:rRNA from 1 species
AACGUUGGCGGCGUGGAUUAGGCAUGCAAAUCGAGCGAAUCCCGGGGGGUAACUCUCGGGGAAGCGGUGAAAGGGGCAGUAAGGCAUGGGUAACCUACCCCGGGGACGGGCAUAGCCGUCCUAACGGACGGGUAAUUCCCGGCGAUCCAGUUGGAUGGCAUCAUUUGACUGGGAAACGAAUUUCGCCUCGGGAGGGGCCCAUGUGGUAUUAGCUAGUUGGUGAGGUGAUGGCUCACCAAGGCCAAGAUGCCUAGCAGGUGUGAGAGCACGACCUGCGCCACUGGCACUGAGACACUGGCCAGACUCCUACGGGAGGCUGCAGUCGAGGAUCUUCGGCAAUGGGCGCAAGCCUGACCGAGCGACGCCGCGUGUGCGAUGAAGGCCUUCGGGUUGUAAAGCACUGUCGAGGGGGAGGAAAGCCCGCAAGGGUCUGACCUAUCCCUGGAGGAAGCACGGGCUAAGUUCGUGCCAGCAGCCGCGGUAAGACGAACCGUGCAAACGUUAUUCGGAAUCACUGGGCUUAAAGGGCGCGUAGGCGGGCCGUCAAGUCAGGGGUGAAAUCCUCCCGCUCAACGGGAGAACAGCUUUUGAUACUGGCGGCCUCGAGUGGGGUAGGGGCAUGUGGAACUUCCGGUGGAGCGGUGAAAUGCGUAGAUAUCGGAAGGAACGCCGGUGGCGAAAGCGACGUGCUGGACCCUUUCUGACGCUGAGGCGCGAAAGCCAGGGGAGCAAACGGGAUUAGAUACCCCGGUAGUCCUGGCCCUAAACGUUGGGUACUAGGUUGUGGACUGACAUGGGUUCACAGCCGAAGCAAAAGUGCUAAGUACCCCGCCUGGGGAGUAUGGUCGCAAGGCUGAAACUCAAAGGAAUUGA